GAUCAGUAGCUGGUCUGAGAGGACGACCAGCCACACUGGGACUGAGACACGGCCCAGACUCCUACGGGAGGCAGCAGUGGGGAAUUUUGGACAAUGGGCGAAAGCCUGAUCCAGCCAUGCCGCGUGAGUGAAGAAGGCCUUCGGGUUGUAAAGCUCUUUUAGUCGGAAAGAAAGAGUCAUAGUAAAUAGCUAUGAUUUAUGACGGUACCGACAGAAAAAGCACCGGCUAACUACGUGCCAGCAGCCGCGGUAAUACGUAGGGUGCGAGCGUUAAUCGGAAUUACUGGGCGUAAAGGGUGCGCAGGCGGCCUGGUAAGUCAGAUGUGAAAGCCCCGGGCUUAACCU
rnacentral:rRNA from 1 species